AAAAGUGAAAGACGGUCUUGCUGUCACUUAUAGAUGGAUCCGCGCUGCAUUAGCUAGUUGGUAAGGUAACGGCUUACCAAGGCAACGAUGCAUAGCCGACCUGAGAGGGUGAUCGGCCACACUGGAACUGAGACACGGUCCAGACUCCUACGGGAGGCAGCAGUAGGGAAUCUUCCGCAAUGGGCGAAAGCCUGACGGAGCAACGCCGCGUGAGUGAUGAAGGUCUUCGGAUCGUAAAACUCUGUUAUUAGGGAAGAACAUAUGUGUAAGUAACUGUGCACAUCUUGACGGUACCUAAUCAGAAAGCCACGGCUAACUACGUGCCAGCAGCCGCGGUAAUACGUAGGUGGCAAGCGUUAUCCGGAAUUAUUGGGCGUAAAGCGCGCGUAGGCGGUUUUUUAAGUCUGAUGUGAAAGCCCACGGCUCAACCGUGGAGGGUCAUUGGAAACUGGAAAACUUGAGUGCAGAAGAGGAAAGUGGAAUUCCAUGUGUAGCGGUGAAAUGCGCAGAGAUAUGGAGGAACACCAGUGGCGAAGGCGACUUUCU
rnacentral:rRNA from 1 species